AUUGAACGCUGGCGGCAUGCUUUACACAUGCAAGUCGAACGGCAGCGCGGGCUUCGGCCCGGCGGCGAGUGGCGAACGGGUGAGUAAUGCAUCGGAACGUGCCCAGUAGUGGGGGAUAGCCCGGCGAAAGCCGGAUUAAUACCGCAUACGACCUGAGGGUGAAAGCGGGGGACCGAAAGGCCUCGCGCUAUUGGAGCGGCCGAUGUCGGAUUAGCUAGUUGGUGGGGUAAAGGCUUACCAAGGCGACGAUCCGUAGCUGGUCUGAGAGGACGACCAGCCACACUGGGACUGAGACACGGCCCAGACUCCUACGGGAGGCAGCAGUGGGGAAUUUUGGACAAAGGGGGCAACCCUGAUCCAGCCAUGCCGCGUGCGGGAAGAAGGCCUUCGGGUUGUAAACCGCUUUUGUUCGGGAAGAAAUCCUCUGGGCUAAUACCCCGGGGGGAUGACGGUACCGGAAGAAUAAGCACCGGCUAACUACGUG
rnacentral:rRNA from 1 species